GCCGCCAUAGCUCAGCCGGCAGAGCAGCUCACUUGUAAUGAGAAGGUCCGGGGUUCGAUUCCUCGUGGCGGCACCA
rnacentral:tRNA from 1 species